GAAGAGAGAGUUAAAACAGAAAGAAAAAUCGGGAAGACCGAUCUAUUCUUCCUCCUCCCCUUCUUCGCGCGCGCACAGUAACCGGAGAAGACAAUUCGGCAAAUCCGACGCCGUUCAGCCACCUCAGGUCGUUCCAUCGGUCGGAGAGCUCCCUCUUUCCCUCCUUAUCCAUCUCCGCUUGAUUUGGCCGGAGGAAGUGAGAUUGAUGAUGAACAGUGGCGAUGAACAGUAACUAUCAGAUUUCCAGAUUUUGGAGUGAAUUUCCGACCACUUUCUGCUUGAUUUUGGUUGUUUUUGCAGGACGUAUUGAGCCCUCGAGUGAGAAGGAUACAGGCAGGCAGCAGGAUUAGCUGCGAGACUCACCUAUUUCAGUUUGGCCGAGAUCGCGUCCAGGAACUAGAGGCAUUGGAGUCAGCGCUUCCGUUUUGGCUGUAGGGUUUAUUGUGCAGGUUAGAAUAUCGGGUGAUCGUUAUCAAAGCUGAGGUAGACUUUCCGUCACGUGGGAGUAGAAGGGCGCUCAUACUUGUAGUCUUCCGCUGUGUAGUGAGUUGGUGAGAGUGGUUACACGUUGAAUUGAUAUUCAGUUUAAUUUGUAAACUAUUGUAAUGUAAUAUGUGACUCUAAAGAACGAGUCGGUAUUGACAUUGUGAGUUCAGUUUGUUUGUUGUUUAGUUUAAAUGAAAAAUUUUCUAUA